rnacentral:rRNA from 1 species
UACGGAAGGGUGCAAGCGUUACUCGGAAUUGCUGGGCGUAAAGCGUGCGUAGGUGGUUUGUUAAGUCUGCUGUGAAAGCCCCGGGCUCAACCUGGGAAUGGCAGUGGAUACUGGCAAGCUGGAGUGCGGUAGAGGGUAGUGGAAUUCCCGGUGUAGCCGGUGAAAUGCGUAGAGAUCGGGAGGAACACCAGUGGCGAAGGCGGCUACCUGGACCAGCACUGACACUGAGGCACGAAAGCGUGGGGAGCAACAGG